AUUGAACGCUGGCGGCAGGCCUAACACAUGCAAGUCGAACGAGUGGCGGACGGGUGCGUAAUGUCUGGGCACCUGCCUGAUGGAGGGGGAUAACUACUGGACACGGUAGCUAAUACCGCAUACCAUCAGAUGUGCCCAGAUGGGAUUAGCUAGUGGGUGGGGAAACGGCUCCCCAAGGCGACGAUCCCUAGCUGGUCUGAGAGGAUGACCAGCAAAACUGGAAAGGAGACACGGUCCAGACUCCUACGGGAGGCAGCAGUGGGGAAGAUUGCACAAUGGGCGCAAGCCUGAUGCAGCCAGGCCGCGUGUAUGAAGAAGGCCUUCGGGUUGUAAAGUACUUUAAGCGGGGAGGCGUUACCCGCAGAAGAAGCACCGGCUAACUCCGUGCCAGCAGCCGCGGUAAUUC
rnacentral:rRNA from 1 species